GACGAACGCUGGCGGCGUGCUUAACACAUGCAAGUCGAACGAUGAAAGCAGGAGCUUGCUCUUGCCGGAUUAGUGGCGAACGGGUGAGUAACACGUGAGUAACCUGCCCUUGACUCUGGGAUAAGCGUUGGAAACGACGUCUAAUACCGGAUACGAGCUAGGACCGCAUGGUCACUAGUUGGAAAGAAUUUUGGUCAAGGAUGGACUCGCGGCCUAUCAGCUAGUUGGUGAGGUAACGGCCCACCAAGGCGACGACGGGUAGCCGGCCUGAGAGGGUGACCGGCCACACUGGGACUGAGACACGGCCCAG
rnacentral:rRNA from 1 species